rnacentral:rRNA from 1 species
UACGUAGGGACCGAGCGUUGUCCGGAUUCAUUGGGCGUAAAGAGCUCGUAGGCGGCCACUCAAGUCGAAUGUGAAACCUCGAGGCUCAACCUCGAGCCUGCAUUCGAUACUGGGCGGCUAGAGUCUGGUAGGGGGAUCUGGAAUUCCUGGUGUAGCGGUGGAAUGCGCAGAUAUCAGGAGGAGCACCGGUGGCGAAGGCGGGAUCCUGGGCCAGUACUGACGCUGAGGAGCGAAAGCGUGGGGAGCAAACAGG